AGCGGAGUAAGACAACAGGGAUUGCCCCAGUAACGGCGAGUGAAGCGGCAACAGCUCAAAUUUGAAAUCUGGCCCUCGGGUCCGAGUUGUAAUUUGUAGAGGAUGCUUUUGGCGCGGUGCCUUCCGAGUUCCCUGGAACGGGACGCCUUAGAGGGUGAGAGCCCCGUACGGUUGGACACCAAGCCUCUGUAAAGCUCCUUCGACGAGUCGAGUAGUUUGGGAAUGCUGCUCUAAAUGGGAGGUAAAUUUCUUCUAAAGCUAAAUAUUGGCCAGAGACCGAUAGCGCACAAGUAGAGUGAUCGAAAGAUGAAAAGCACUUUGAAAAGAGGGUUAAAUAGCACGUGAAAUUGUUGAAAGGGAAGCGUUUGCGACCAGACCUCUCCCUGGCGGAUCAUCCGGCGUUCUCGCCGGUGCACUCCGCCAGGCUGAGGCCAGCAUCGGUUUUCGCGGGGGGACAAAAGCGGGGGGAACGUAGCUCCCUCGGGAGUGUUAUAGCCCUCCGCAUAAUACCCUCGCGGGGACCGAGGACCGCGCUUCGGCAAGGAUGCUGGCGUAAUGGUCGUCAACGACCCGUCUUGAAACACGGACCAAGGAGUCGAACAUUUGUGCGAGUGUUUGGGUGUCAAACCCUCACGCGUAAUGAAGGUGAACGUAGGUGAGAGCCCUCGCGGGCGCAUCAUCGACCGAUCCUGAUGUCUUCGGAUGGAUUUGAGUAAGAGCAUAACUGUUCGGACCCGAAAGAUGGUGAACUAUGCGUGGAUAGGGUGAAGCCAGAGGAAACUCUGGUGGAGGCUCGCAGCGGUUCUGACGUGCAAAUCGAUCGUCAAAUCUGCGCAUGGGGGCGAA
rnacentral:rRNA from 1 species